rnacentral:siRNA from 1 species
UGCACUUGGGUGCGUCAACUACG